rnacentral:rRNA from 1 species
UUUUGGGUUGUAAACCUCUUUUAUUAAGGAAGAAGAAAGUGACGGUACUUAAUGAAUCACCAUCGGCUAACUCCGUGCCAGCAGCCGCGGUAAUACGGAGGAUGCAAGCGUUAUCCGGAAUCAUUGGGCGUAAAGCGUCCGCAGGUGGUUAAUCGUGUCUGCUGUUAAAGACAGAAGCUCAACUUCUGAGAGGCAGUGGAAACUGGUUAACUAGAGUACGGUAGGGGUUGAGGGAAUUCCCAGUGUAGCGGUGAAAUGCGUAGAUAUUGGGAAGAACACCAGUGGCGAAGGCGCUCAACUGGGCCGUAACUGACACUCAGGGACGAAAGCUAGGGUAGCGAAAGGGAUUAGAUACCCCUGUAGUCUUAGCUGUAAACGAUGAACACUAGGCGUUGCUUGUAUCGACCCGAGCAGUGCCGUAGCCAACGCGUUAAGUGUUCCGCCUGGGGAGUACGCACGCAAGUGUGAAACUCAAAGGAAUUGACGGGGGCCCGCACAAGCGGUGGAGUAUGUGGUUUAAUUCGAUGCAACGCGAAGAACCUUACCAGGACUUGACAUCUCGAGAACCCUGCCUAAUAGCAGGGGUGCCUUCGGGAACUCGAAGACAGGUGGUGCAUGGCUGUCGUCAGCUCGUGUCGUGAGAUGUUGGG